UCACCCUUCAAGCCCUCGGCUUGGUGUUGGACGGUUUGGUUUUGGUGACAAGACCCUUCCUAAAAUCAAUGACGGCGGCCUGUGUGACCCCCGGUACACUGAGCUUCUUAACUGAGCACGUAUCGGACAAGGGUGCCCGGGACACGGUCCUCUCCUUUCACUAGGAAAUUUUUCCUUA
rnacentral:misc_RNA from 1 species